rnacentral:rRNA from 2 species
UCUAUACGGGUGAAACUGCGAAUGGCUCAUUAAAUCAGUUAUCGUUUAUUUGAUAGUACCUUACUACAUGGAUACCCGUGGUAAUUCUAGAGCUAAUACAUGCUAAAAACCUCGACUUCGGAAGGGGUGUAUUUAUUAGAUAAAAAACCAAUGCCCUUCGGGGCUCUCUGGUGAUUCAUAAUAACUUCUCGAAUCGCAUGGCCUUGCGCCGGCGAUGGUUCAUUCAAAUUUCUGCCCUAUCAACUUUCGAUGGUAGGAUAGUGGCCUACCAUGGUGGCAACGGGUAACGGGGAAUUAGGGUUCGAUUCCGGAGAGGGAGCCUGAGAAACGGCUACCACAUCCAAGGAAGGCAGCAGGCGCGCAAAUUACCCAAUCCCGAUACGGGGAGGUAGUGACAAUAAAUACUGAUACAGGGCUCUUUUGGGUCUUGUAAUUGGAAUGAGUACAAUCUAAAUCCCUUAACGAGGAACAAUUGGAGGGCAAGUCUGGUGCCAGCAGCCGCGGUAAUUCCAGCUCCAAUAGCGUAUAUUAAAGUUGUUGCAGUUAAAAAGCUCGUAGUUGAACCUUGGGCCUGGCUGGCCGGUCCGCCUCACGGCGUGCACUGGUCCGGCUGGGUCUUUCCUUCUGGGGAGCCCCAUGGCCUUCACUGGCUGUGGGGGGAACCAGGACUUUUACUGUGAAAAAAUUAGAGUGUUCAAAGCAGGCCUUCGCUCGGAUACAUUAGCAUGGAAUAAUAGAAUAGGACGUGUGGUUCUAUUUUGUUGGUUUCUAGGACCACCGUAAUGAUUAAUAGGGAUGGUCGGGGGCGUCAGUAUUCGGCUGUCAGAGGUGAAAUUCUUGGAUUUGCCGAAGACUAACUACUGCGAAAGCAUUCGCCAAGGAUGUUUUCAUUAAUCAGUGAACGAAAGUUAGGGGAUCGAAGACGAUCAGAUACCGUCGUAGUCUUAACCAUAAACUAUGCCGACUAGGGAUCGGACGGUGUUUUUAUGAUGACCCGUUCGGCACCUUACGAGAAAUCAAAGUUUUUGGGUCUGGGGGAGAAGCCACC